GCAUAGCCGAUCCGAGACUGUUCGAAAAUAUUCGAGAUUGUUGAUUCCAGUUACCUGCUCGGAAAGGGAAUCGUCAGCUACUCGUCACACUAUCUAUCAUUUUGGGGUACUACUAUAUUUUGGAGCUAGUAUGGCAUGUAUGGAAUAGAUAAACGAAUGAUAUUUUGAGACGUACUUAUAUAUAAGCCAUGUGAAUAUGGUACUUUUGAAUGUCGAUACAA